rnacentral:rRNA from 1 species
GUGCCAGCAGCCGCGGUAAUACGUAGGUCCCGAGCGUUAUCCGGAUUUAUUGGGCGUAAAGCGAGCGCAGGCGGUUAGAUAAGUCUGAAGUUAAAGGCUGUGGCUUAACCAUAGUACGCUUUGGAAACUGUUUAACUUGAGUGCAGAAGGGGAGAGUGGAAUUCCAUGUGUAGCGGUGAAACGCGUAGAUAUAUGGAGGAACACCGGUGGCGAAAGCGGCUCUCUGGUCUGUAACUGACGCUGAGGCUCGAAAGCGUGGGGAGCAAACAGGAUUAGAUACCCUGGUAGUCAAGGGCGAAUUCGC